rnacentral:rRNA from 1 species
AGAAUCAACGCUGGCGGCGUGCCUAACACAUGCAAGUCGAACGAGAAAGUGGAGCAAUCCAUGAGUAAAGUGGCGCACGGGUGAGUAACACGUGACUAACCUACCCUUGAGUGGGGAAUAACUUCGGGAAACCGAGGCUAAUACCGCAUAACACCUACGGGUCAAAGGAGCAAUUCGCUUAAGGAGGGGGUCGCGGCAGAUUAGUUAGUUGGCGGGGUAAUGGCCCACCAAGACGGUGAUCUGUAUCCGGCCUGAGAGGGCGCACGGACACACUGGAACUGAAACACGGUCCAGACUCCUACGGGAGGCAGCAGUGGGGAAUUUGCGCAAUGGGGGAAACCCUGACGCAGCAACGCCGCGUGGAGGAUGAAGUCCCUUGGGACGUAAACUCCUUUCGAUCGGGACGAUUAUGACGGUACCGGAAGAAGAAGCCCCGGCUAACGUUCGCGCCAGCAGCCGC